GGACGCCUUUGUCGGUACCUGGAAGCUAGUGGACAGCAAGAAUUUUGAUGACUACAUGAAGUCACUCGGUGUGGGCUUUGCCACCAGACAGGUGGCUAGCAUGACCAAGCCGACCACAAUCAUUGAGAAGAAUGGGGAUACCAUCACCAUAAAGACACACAGUACCUUCAAGAACACAGAGAUCAGCUUUCAGCUGGGAGUAGAGUUUGACGAGGUCACAGCAGAUGACAGGAAGGUCAAGUCGGUCGUGACACUGGACGGAGGCAAACUGGUCCAUGUGCAGAAGUGGGACGGGCAGGAGACUACGCUUACACGGGAACUAAGUGAUGGGAAACUCAUCCUGGUAAGAUGGGCAACGACAGGAACCGUGCCUUCCUCAGGCCAGGGCCUUCCUGGGGUCGGGAGGAAGUAGGACGAGAGGCGGGGAUGGGGUCAUGGCUGUCACAGGUCUUGGUUCAAGCCUCAGCCUAAAAGCUAUCUGACUCUGGACACGUAACCUUCUUUAACGGCCACUAGGAUGCGUACAGUGACUGGAGCCUGGAGGCUACUGGAAGGCCAGUGUAUUCAUAGCCCAAAGCCCAGCCAAGCAGGAAGGAUGCAGCAGCUGCCCACAAAUGGUUCCUCCUGCUUGUGUUCCCGGGAGGAGGCAGAAAGCAGGGCCAAUUGAUCCCAGGAGGGGAGCAGCUGCCACUCUGUCUUCCUGAGUAGGAAUGCAGGCAUCUGCAGGAGCAAGUGUGUGCCUGACUGGCACUGCCGGGAGCACCCCCUCCUUAUUCAUGCUUUGUCUACUGUUCCUGGCUUCCUGAAAACAUCUAUUGUCUAGAGAGGAGGUGAUACAACCAGGCCUGUAGAUCUGCUUUGGGAUAAGUUUGAGAGCAUCCUUAGAAUAUAGUAGCCUUGGAGGACUGCACCUGGGCCAGGAGCAUGGACCACAAAGUCAGUACCACAGCCCUUGGUGGCUCCGUGGAACCUGCUGAUUGUGUAUUCACACGAGACUGGGGUCCCCUCUGAGUCAGAAGUCAGGUGCCUAGUUCUGGAAGGGAGGAAACAAACAGGACCAUUUCACCGGGUAAUAGAGUAAGAGGAGGCCAUGGCUGGUCUCUACUGAGCCUGAAUACUGGAUGGUCAGGGAGGAAGGGAAAGUUGGUAGCUUAGUUCCUCAAGGCUCUGGCUGCUCUUAUCACCAGUUUGUCUGCCUUGCACCAGACACCCCCUUAGGCAGGUGCUGAACAUAAAAGAGGAACAGGAAUGUACUGGAUCCUGACCAAUUUACCUCUUUCAAGGGUCUAUUUUCCCCCCAAAUCUCUAAAAUGGUAAUUAUAACAUCUACCUUAAAAGAUCUGCAUCAGAAAAAA
rnacentral:lncRNA from 1 species